rnacentral:sRNA from 1 species
CGUCAAGAAAAUCCAAUCAUAAAUGGAGAAGGGGGAUGGUCUAGCGGGGGCGCGUUAAUGGGUACCUCGGCCAGUCCCAGACACAUCCGGGUCUUCGACAGCCCAUUAAGUGUCGGGGGUCAAAAAAUUGCUUUAGGCUGCAGCUUUACCUUGUAGACGUUUUGGUCCCCUGGCAGCCGCCGUACCACCUAGUCUCUCAAAUCUGUGAUUCUCCUUUGGCAGGCUCUCAUUCUUUCACGUCUAAAGAUGGAGACUGAGAACGGCGCUGGGCUCUAUAUUUGGGUGGAGGGAUGUGAGGCAGCUGUCUAUGAUUUGCCUCAUGCUCCAGCAGAGGUGUGAUUUCCCCAGCUGCAGACAGUUUCUGAAGUUGUGUGACAUGUGAAAUUCUGGGAAGUUUCCAGAGGGUCCAUGAAUGUUUGGACCCUAAGCUGUAAGAAGCAGUGGAUCCAGGGCGUUCUCGGGGCCACAGAAGGCUAUCCAUGGGACUCCGGCGAGCCGCAGGAGGCAGGUCAGGGGGC